AAAUAAGAAACAAAAAAUUGUGUUUAGUUUCGACCUAAAAUUUUGGUCCUUUGACCCUUAUUUA
rnacentral:tRNA from 1 species